rnacentral:lncRNA from 1 species
GAGCGGUCGCCAUGGUGGUGUCGGGGGCUCGGCCGGCCUCGUUAGCACAGAAGAUCCUCAGUCAUAGUUAACAAAAUGGUAAAAUUAGCUGUGUUUUAAGAUUCCAGUCGUGGCCAUCAACUGCUCAGGAAAGCAGCCCAGAAUCACUUCACUACAGGUUUUCAAAGGAUCAUCAUUCAUCAGUACAGAAGGGUGGGGAAGAGAAGGCUGUUCAAAUUCUGAAAAGCCAGAGCUGCAAAGGAGGUCAAGAUGCAGUGCAGUUGGCCCACUCAGUAGAGUUUCACUAGUGGUUCUGAUGUGGACUGGGGAUUACACGCUGGAUUGAAGUGGUGGUCUGGAGCAGCUGUAAUUCAUCAUUCGUGCUGAUCGUGGACGAGUAAGAGCCCGCGUUGGCCCCGAUCGGCGAUCGCUGGCCAAAGCCCACCACCAGGUUGGUGAUAGGCGUUGGCUGUGAUAUCUUGGUGUCGCCUAUGUGUGAAAAGGACAAGUUGAUAACAAAACCUGUUGCGCCAUGUUAUUAACCCGCGCCCGGGUGGCCCUCAGCCAACUUGGUGGGGGGGGGGGGGGGGGGGGUGGGAGGGGGGAGGGGAGGCGUAUUCGGCCACACCAGGUUAUCUUGGAAUGUAACAAAGUUGGAAAGACGCAGUAAAAUCAAUAUAUAGCUCGCUAUUUUCCUUCAGAAUCAUACAGGUCAUUUUCGAUCAGGUCAUUGCUGAGGUCACUGGAGGUCACCAAAAGUAAAAUGAUGACGAAUUCUGGCUUUAGAUUUUGACAACUUCACAAAUUGGUUCAUAACUCGGGAACCAAAGAAGCUACAGCGCCGCGGAAAAGCGAAUUCGAUAGCUCUUUCGAAAAUCUUUCAGGUUCUCAGAUUUGAGCUAAGGUCAACUAGGGUUAAGCCUCCAAAUGGCAAAAACUGAACAAUCGGCGUGCUUCGGAAAUCGUCUUAUCUUUUAAAACUUUUGAUACCAACCUUUUAUUACGUUGAUUUUACCGGCACUGCGUUUCUCUCGUCUUGUUGACCUAACAAGGUCAACUUAAUAAAUUUGACCUCAGGUCAAAGUCGCAGAAAAUGCCAUAUUGCAUGUCAGUCGAUUCGUUACAUUGAGAUUGUGAUUAACAUCAGUAGCGGCGGAACACCUUCAAUUAAGGGGGCAUUGCCGACUUUUGGUCCCAUUCUUCCCAUGCAACGCCCAUAGGGCUAAUCUUAAAAUGUCAAAAUCAAAGGGGGCACGGUGCCCCGGUGCCCUCCCCGUUCCGCCGCCUGUGAUUAUGAUGUUUUUAGCGCUCUGGCCACGUUCCAUCUAAAAUCAAUGUACAAAAAUAAACUGUUGGAGACGUUACAUGACCUGAGAUGACCUCAGGAGCAUACGAUAGAUCCCGACGUUUGAGUGUUUUUGUUUCAAAAGCAGAGCAUUUCGAGUUCCUCAUACUGACUGAAACUGGAGACGUCGCAAAGUUGACCUGACCCUCGGUCACCGAUAUCAAAAUUAAAGAUACUCAAGAUGUUGGUAGUUGGUACUGAUUCUCUCAUGCAAUAGCUCGA